rnacentral:sRNA from 1 species
UCUGUUUUGUUUCCAAGUCUUCUUCAA